AUGUAUGGUGAAAGUAGUAGUAGCAGCAGUAGUGAUGGUGAUAGUAGAAGUAGUAGUAGAGAUGGUGAAAGUAGUAGUAGUAGUAAGGAUGGUGAUAGUAGUAGCAGCAGCAAUGGUGAUAGUAGUAGUACUAGUGAAAGUAGUAAUAGUAGUAGUAGCAGUGAUGGUGAUAGUAGUUGGAGUAGUAGCAGUAGUAGUGAUGGUGAUAGUAGUAGAAAUAGAGAUGGUGAUCGCAGUGGGAGUAGUAGCAGUAGUAGCAGUAGAGAUGGUGAUAGUAGUAGUGAUGGUGAUAGUAGUAGAGAUGGUGAUAGUAGUAGUGGUAGUAGUAAUGGCAGUAGCAGUAGAAGUAGUAUAGUUGGUGAUAUUAGUAGUCAUAGUAGUAGUAGUAGUAGUAGCAGCAGCAGCAGUAGUGAUGGUGACAGUAGUAGUAAUAGUAGUAGUACUAGUGAUAGUAGUGGUAGCAGCAGUAGAGAUGGUGAUAGUAGAGACGGUGAUAGUAGUAGUAGUAGUAGUAGUAGUAUAGUAGUAGUAGUAGUAGUGGUAGUAGCAGUGAUGGUGAAAGUAGUCAUAGUACUAGCAGUAGUAGUGAUAGUGAUAGUAGAAGUAGAGAUGGUGAAAGCAGUAGUAGUAGUAGCAGCAGCAAUAUUAAUGGUGAUGGUUGUAGUGAUGGUUAUAGUAGUAGUAGUAGUAGAGAUGGUGAUAGUAGUAGUGAUGGUGAUAGUAGUAGUAGUAGUGAUGGUGAUAGUAAUAGUAGUAGUAGUAGUAGUAGUAGUAGUACUAGUAGUAGUAGAGAUGGUGAUAGUAGUAGUAGCAGAAGCAGCAGUAGUAAUGGUGAAAAGAGUAGUAGAGAUGGUGAUAGUAGUAGUAGUAGAGAUGGUGAUAGAAGUAGUAGUAGCAGUAGAGAUGGUGAUAGUAGUAGUAGUAGCAGUAGAGAUGGUGAUAGUAGUAGUAGUAAGGAUGGUGAUAGUAGUAGUAGUAGCAGUAGAGAUGGUGAUAGUAGUAGUAGUAGCAGUAGAGAUGGUGAUAGUAGUAGGAGUAGCAGUAGAGAUGGUGAUAGUAGCAGUAUUAGUAGUGGCGAUGGUGAUAGUAGUAGUAACAGCAGCAGCAAUAAUGGUGAUAGCAGUAGUAGUAAAUAUUGUGAUAGUAGUAGUAGUAGUAGUAGUAGCAGAAGUAGACAUGGUGAUAAUAGUAGCAGAAGCAGCAGCAACAGUAAUGGUGGUAGUUUUAGUAGUAUUAGUGAUUGUGAGAGUAGUAGUAGUAGUAGAGAUGGUGAUAGUAGUAGUAGUAGUGGUGAUGAUAGUAGUAGUACUAGUACUAAUGAUGAUAGUAGUAGUGGUAGAAGUAGUGAUGGUGAUAGAAGUAAUGGUAGUAGUAGUAGAAGUAGCAUUAGCAGUAGUAAUGGUGAAAGUAGUAUUUAUGGUGAUUAUAGUGGUAGAGGUGAUGGUGAAGUAG
rnacentral:lncRNA from 8 species